rnacentral:tRNA from 1 species
GAAUCCCUAGCUCAGUUGGUUAGAGCGCUACGUUGACAUCGUAGAGGUCACUGGUUCAAAUCCUGUGGGGUUCAC